rnacentral:piRNA from 1 species
UGACCACCAUUGCUUACUAUU